rnacentral:rRNA from 1 species
UACAGACGGUCCAAACGUUAUUCGGAAUCACUGGGCUUAAAGAGUUCGUAGGCGGUCAGGAAAGUGGGGUGUGAAAGCCCUCGGCUUAACCGAGGAAUUGCGCUCCAAACUCCCUGACUUGAGGAGGCUAGAGGUAAGCGGAACUGAUGGUGGAGCGGUGAAAUGCGUUGGAUAUCAUCAGGAACACCGGAGGCGAAGGCGGCUUACUGGGGGCCUUUCUGACGCUGAGGAACGGAAAGCUA